UCUUUUGACCCAACCUUUUUCUCCUCGAAUUAUAAUCGAGCACCCACCAACGAGGAGGCCUCGAAAACCAAAGAGUGAUCCAAGGAAUCACAGUGAAGCAACCAUAUUUCAUUGGUUUUGGCUCCUAUCCAACCUCCUAAUCAGACAUCUACUGACCCUAAGGAUAAAAUCCUCCCGACGACAAAGAACAUAGCUCGAUGAACCUA
rnacentral:lncRNA from 1 species